CUGGCCCUGAAUCAUGGCCAACAGUGCUAAAUGUUGGUUUCGAGCUGAAGCCUAAAGAAUGUCUUCUGUGGUCUGGGGCCAUUGCAAAGAUUUGAAAAUGUAAUGCUCAAUUCAUUAGUAAGAACCGUCU